GAUGAACGCUGGCGGCGUGCCUAACACAUGCAAGUCGAACGGAGUCCCGCCAUAGAGACCUUCGGGUCAAAGAGGGGAAGACUGAGUGGCGGACGGGUGAGUAACACGUGGGCAACCUGGCUCAUAGAGGGGGAUAACAGAGAGAAAUUUCUGCUAAUACCGCAUAAGCACACACUGCCGCAUGGCAGAGUGUGAAAAGAGAAUCGCUAUGAGAUGGACCCGCGUCUGAUUAGCCAGUUGGCAGGGUAAGAGCCUACCAAAGCGACGAUCAGUAGCCGAUUUGAGAGGGAGAACCGCCACAAUUGGAAUGAAGCACCGCCCCAACUCCUACGGGAGGCAGCCGUGGGGGAUAAUGCAAAAUGGGGGGGACCCUGAUGGAGCGGCGCCGGGGGGGGGGAGAAGGAUUUCGGGAUGUAAAGCUCCGUUAGCCAGGAAGGUUAUGAAAGUACCUGAAAAAGAAGCCCCGGCUAACUACGUG
rnacentral:rRNA from 1 species